rnacentral:rRNA from 1 species
UACGUAGGGUGCGAGCGUUAAUCGGAAUUACUGGGCGUAAAGCGUGCGCAGGCGGUGAUGUAAGACCGGAUGUGAAAUCCCCGGGCUUAACCUGGGAACUGCGUUGGUGACUGCAUUGCUGGAGUAUGGCAGAGGGGGGUGGAAUUCCACGUGUAGCAGUGAAAUGCGUAGAGAUGUGGAGGAACACCGAUGGCGAAGGCAGCCCCCUGGGCCAAUACUGACGCUCAUGCACGAAAGCGUGGGGAGCAAACAGG